UCUACCAAAGGAUAAUAGCAUUCCACUGGUCUUA
rnacentral:tRNA from 1 species